rnacentral:rRNA from 1 species
ACGGGGUGCAGCAGGCGCGAAACCUUUACAAUGCACGAAAGUGUGAUAAGGGAACCCAGAGUGCUUAGCUUAGCUAGGCUUUUGCCAAGAGUAAAUAUCUUGGAGAAUAAGUGGUGGGCAAGACUGGUGCCAGCCGCCGCGGUAAUACCAGCACCACGAGUGGGUACUACAAUUAUUGGGCCUAAAGCGUCCGUAGCCUGUUUGAUAAAUUUCUUGUGAAAUUGUUAAGCUCRACUUAACACCGUGCAGGAAAGACUGUCAAACUUGGGACUGGGAGGAGUUAGAAGUAUUUUUGGGGUAGCGGUAAAAUGUUAUAAUCCCAAAGAGACUACCUAUGGCGAAAGCAUCUAACCAGAACAGGUCCGACGGUGAGGAACGAAAGCUAGGGGAGCAAAACGGAUUAGAUACCCGAGUAGUCCUAGCCAUAAACGCUGCGAGCAAGAUGUUGCAUAUUCUUCGGGAAUAUGCAGUAUCGAAGAGAAGUCGUUAAGCUCGCCGCCUGGGAAGUAUGGUCGCAAGACUGAAACUUAAAGGAAUUGGCGGGGGAGCAC